rnacentral:rRNA from 1 species
CCUACGGGAGGCAGCAGUGGGGAAUAUUGCACAAUGGGCGAAAGCCUGAUGCAGCAACGCCGCGUGAGCGAUGAAGGCCUUCGGGUCGUAAAGCUCUGUCCUCAAGGAAGAUAAUGACGGUACUUGAGGAGGAAGCCCCGGCUAACUACGUGCCAGCAGCCGCGGUAAUACGUAGGGGGCUAGCGUUAUCCGGAAUUACUGGGCGUAAAGGGUGCGUAGGUGGUUUCUUAAGUCAGAGGUGAAAGGCUACGGCUCAACCGUAGUAAGCCUUUGAAACUGGGAAACUUGAGUGCAGGAGAGGAGAGUGGAAUUCCUAGUGUAGCGGUGAAAUGCGUAGAUAUUAGGAGGAACACCAGUUGCGAAGGCGGCUCUCUGGACUGUAACUGACACUGAGGCACGAAAGCGUGGGGAGCAAACAGGAUUAGAUACCCUGGUAGUCCACGCCGUAAACGAUGAGUACUAGCUGUCGGAGGUUACCCCCUUCGGUGGCGCAGCUAACGCAUUAAGUACUCCGCCUGGGAAGUACGCUCGCAAGAGUGAAACUCAAAGGAAUUGACGG